GGUGUGUGCCACCAUGCCCGGCUCCAUACAAUAUCUUAAUGGUACUAACAUUUUGGUUGUGAGAUUCAUAUAUUACAGAAUAUACAGCUUUGACAAGAUUUAUCCUCAGAGAUGCUGCACUGACCUGCUGUUCCAAUGCCCUGCUUCCUAAUGCUAUCCAAAAACUUGCUUCCAGAGCAGCUUCAGGAAAUGCUACUGAUUCCAGAUGAUCUUACCUCAUCCAACCUUUCAGGUGAAACCAGUCAGAACUUUAGUCAAUUCUUGAGCAUUCUAAGCAUACAAAGGCUGGAUAACAGAUGCUAAAGCUAGCUUUUUAAAGUCUAACCAAUUUUUCUAAUUUUUCUACCCCUUCCUACCCCUUUAAAGAAUUUCUUGUCACCCCUAUCAGCAGGAAGAAACCAUGGAUCAUUUGACAACAAGACAUAUCUGCUCCUGAUAGCUUUUCAAUUCCCCUUCAAAGAAGAAUUGAGCAUCUUCAUUUCCGGGCGAGGUUGCUUAUCAUGGCAAGGUAGCCACGGGGCAAAAAUUGCCUACCUAUCUGCAGACAAAAUACUGUCAAAAAGGACAAACAGAUGUGGGAUAGUCGACGACUACUAAUCUCUGCCAAGACAAGAUCCAAAGAUAGCUCCUGGGCAGGUGUACACGUGUAAUCCUCCAGGAUCCAAAGCAGUAUAGCCAAAACUUGAUGCUACAUCACUAAGAUACACCUUAUGCCUUUAUGUUUGUUUUUAACACAUUCCUUGAUUCUUUUUUUGAGGAAGCUUCACCUUCACAAAAACCCAAGUGUGAUGUUCAGGUAUCAGUGGUUCUAACCUAUAGGUCAUGACCCCUUUGGGGGUCACAUAUCAGACAGAUAUCCUGCAUGUCAAAUAUUUAUACUACAAUUCAAAACGUAGUAAAAUCAUAGUAAUGAAGUAGCAAAGAAAUAAUUUCAUGGUUGGGGGAAUCACCACAACAUGAGAAACUGUAUUAAAGGGUCUCAGAAUUAGGAAGGUUGAGAUCUAUUGAGAUAGAUGGGUUGCUACUUAGCCUGCACAGUAUCUCACAGCAAAGUCCUCUUCCCCAUUAGUAAAUACCUCCUUAUUUUUAAUACCUAACUUCACAGAAGACAUAUACCUUUGAGUAUAAUGCUUCCAGUCAAUAUGUACAUACAGAAAUGGUGUGUAUACUAUAUGACCAAGAGGUCAAGAACUACCCCUCCUUGACAUGAAGCAAGAAUAGUCAAGUACGCUUGGAGCAAGACCCUAACCAAUCAUAGCAUUACCCAGAUCCCCAGAGAUAGAUUCCACCAAUCAAGAUAUAGAUCCUACCCCUCCUUAAUGGCCCUCCUUUUGGCUUUAAAAUUGAAUCUGUGAAUUCAGUCAGGGUCUUUUCAUCCCAGUAGAAUUGGGUCCCAGGAACUUGUUCAAUAAAUGUUCUUUGCAUUU